UUGAGUCGAGACUUCACUCCGAGACUCGAGGCUUUGGUUGGUGUCUCACUGCCGCCCCUCCACCUCCGCCUUGCCUAGACGGUGUGGUGGAGUGUGGUGGAGGCGGUGGACGUGUGGUGGAGACUUGGAGGUUGAGGACCAUUUGCGAGUUUGGGUGAGAAUGACUCGCCCACCUGGCCGUCCCCACCACGCUAAUUAGCAGCAGCACACCUGUUGUCACCUGCUGCUCAAACUUUCCCGGAUAUGAAAGUGCUUAUCAAUCCUCCUGGACAGAGCGAUCUUCUCCCCCUCCUCGGUGCAGACAGGCUGGGUGAGGGUGAUCUUGGCCAAGUCAGCCCUCACUGCCAGCACGCGGCCCCCGGUGGACAGUGACCCAAUGUUGACCAUCAGCAUCUCGUUCUUUGUCAACUUUUGCACCUGUGGGGGGACGAAGAAGGUUUGUUGAGUAUGUGGAAGUGGAGAGGAACGAGUUGAUUGAUGAGAGAUGAGGUCCUGACCCCCAGCAGGCGCCGCAGGAGGAAGUAUGAAAUCUCCAGUUCAGUGAAGAUCUCUGGCAGGGACCCCACUGCCCCCAGCACCUGCCCCACCAUGCGAUCCGCCCGGCACAGUGUAGGGUCAAUCUUGGUGCCCACGCCUGGAUGGGAUGGAAAAAGAGGAGUAAAUAGAUGAUGAGAUGGAAAUAGAGGAGUAAAUAGAUGAAUGAAGUAAACAGAUGAAUAAAUUUAAGUAAACAAGCUGAAAUAGUAAA